UACAGAGGGUGCAAGCGUUGUUCGGAAUUACUGGGCGUAAAGCGCGUGUAGGCUGUUCGCCAAGUCUGAUGUGAAAGCCCUGGGCUUAACCCAGGAACUGCAUUGGAAACUAGCGAACUGGAGUCCGGGAGAGGGUCGCGGAAUUCCUGGUGUAGAGGUGAAAUUCGUAGAUAUCAGGAGGAACACCGGUGGCGAAGGCGGCGACCUGGACCGGUACUGACGCUGAGACGCGAAAGCGUGGGGAGCAAACAGG
rnacentral:rRNA from 1 species